GGGCCUGUAGCUCAGGUGGUUAGAGCGUACGCCUGAUAAGCGUAAGGUCGCUAGUUCGAGUCUAGCCAGGCCCACCA
rnacentral:tRNA from 2 species